rnacentral:rRNA from 1 species
AUGAACGCUGGCGGCGUGCCUAAUCCCUGCCAGUCGAGCGAACGGACGAGAAGCUUGCUUCUCUGAUGUUAGCGGCGGACGGGUGAGUAACACGUGGAUAACCUACCUAUAAGACUGGGAUAACUUCGGGAAACCGUAGCUAAUACCGGAUAAUAUUUUGAACCGCAUGGUUCAAAAGUGAAAGACGGUCUUGCUGUCACUUAUAGAUGGAUCCGCGCUGCAUUAGCUAGUUGGUAAGGUAACGGCUUACCAAGGCAACGAUGCAUAGCCGACCUGAGAGGGUGAUCGGCCACACUGGAACUGAGACACGGUCCAGACUCCUACGGGAGGCAGCAGUAGGGAAUCUUCCGCAAUGGGCGAAAGCCUGACGGAGCAACGCCGCGUGAGUGAUGAAGGUCUUCGGAUCGUAAAACUCUGUUAUUAGGGAAGAACAUAUGUGUAAGUAACUGUGCACAUCUUGACGGUACCUAAUCAGAAAGCCACGGCUAACUACGUG